rnacentral:lncRNA from 1 species
CACUAAAUGGAUCCGGAUUGGUGGAGCUCCGACCCGAUUAUGUUCAGAUGAUAAGAAUAAGUAAAGAUCAAAAAUAAGAGAAAAAAUAAUUCAUCCUGCUAAAAAAUGGGACCAAGACGAGAAAUUCAUUUCUUGAUCCAUCUAAUCUGUCAAAAUUUUGCUUCAACUUUGAUUCUUUUCAAAUGAAACGGUAAAUUAUAAUAAAUAUUUAUAUAUUACAUAUUUAUUUUAACUGUCCAAAAAAAUAGAGCAGGAGAAGGAAGAGUCGUUCGUCCUCCGAUUCU